CUGAAAAUCUUGAUCAAAUGUAGAUUCUCAUUCAGUAGGUGUGAGAAUCUGCAUUUCUAACAAGAUCCUAGGUGAUAC
rnacentral:miRNA from 14 species